rnacentral:snoRNA from 1 species
GUCCAAGGUGAUUCCCUCUCCAAGGGGCUGACUAGUGCCCUUUUCAGGAACUUGGAAGAAAGCCUGGCAUGCCUGAGGUNUCUGGGAAAAAGGGAUGCUUGUUGCCUUUGUCUGCCUUUGGCUGCAUACAUGU